rnacentral:tRNA from 1 species
GUGCCCGGUCACCCUGCUACCAGCGGAUACGGAGCAUCGGACUACGGAUCAGAAGGUUAGGGGUUCGAGUCCCUUCGGGCGCACAA